rnacentral:lncRNA from 1 species
GGGAGGCCUUGAUCUUAAGAGUAUAAGCUCUAGAGCAGGGUGCUGGGUGUGCUGGGUCAAUAAAAGGGGUAUGGGUGGGUCACUACCUAUUUUUACUGCAGUUGGAAAAUCUAAGGCAGUACUGCAUGUGUCAAGCAAUAGUUAUGUUUACUUGUGUGGUUGAGGAAGAAAGGCAUUAAAGUAAAUAGAGAAAUGAAAUACUUGGCAUCCUUGCAUUAUUCAAAAAUACGUGAUUCCCAUUACAUUUGAAGUUUAUUGUGCUUACAUGUUAAACAUUUAAGGGCAAUCACCAUAUCUGUUAUUAGUUGUAAACAAAUACAGUAGAAACAUAAACAGUCUGUCUUAGUCAUGUUCUAUUGUUUUGAAGAGGUACAUGACCAAGGCAACUUUUAUAAAAGAAAACAUUCAAUUGGGGGCCUGAUUAUAGUUUCAUAGGUUUAGUCCAUUGUUAUCAUGGUAGGAAGCAUGCUGGCACGCAGGCAACCACUGGAGCAGUAGCUGAGUGCUGCAUCUUGAUCUGUAGCCAGAGAAAAAGAUAGUAGGCCUUGUGUGGGCUUUUGAAAUACCAAACUCACCCCCAGUAACACUAUCCCUUGAACAGGUCCACACCUCCUAAUUCUUCUCAAAUAGUGCCACUCCCUCCUAAAAAAGCACUCAAAUCUAUGAGCCUAUCGGAGCCACUCUUAUUUAAAACUACCACAUUCUACUCCCUGGUCCUCAUAUCAUAUCAUAUAUCAUAUUGGGUUAUAAUUGGAAUGCAUAUUACCUUACAUAUCAUAAAGAAUAUAAGUUAAAAUGCAUAUUGCAUUACAUAUCAUAGUGUAAAAAUAUAUUCUGUCCAACUUCAAAAGUUCCCAUAGAUUAUUACAAUCUUGACCCUGUUUAAAAGUCUGAAGUUCAAGAUCUUUUGUCAAUUUCUAAUAAAAUCAAAAUUUAAAAAAGUAAAUCACAUACUUCCAACAUACAAUGGCAGAGAAUAUACAUUACCAUUUCAAAAGGAAGGAAAGAGGACAUAGUGAGGAAAUACCAGAUCAAAGCAAGAAUGAAAACUAGCUGGCAAACUCCAAACUCUGCAUCUCCAUGUCUGAUGCCAUAGUGCUCUUCAGAUCUCCAACUGCUUUCAGCUUUGUUGACUGCAACAAAAUUCUUUGACUUGGGCUGGUUCCAGUCCCUGUAAGCAGCUUUCCUUGGUUUUGUAUCCCAUGGCUCUGCCAUCUCCAACAUCUUGGGGUCUCCAAGGCAAUCCAGCUUAACAUUCAUAACUUCACAUAAUGGCAGCUCCAGGCCUCCAUAUAGAGACACCCGUGACACAUGCCUGGCCUCCUUUGUCAUGGAGGAAGAUCCCACAAUCACUUUCUUGUAUGGUUGAUUCUAAAGCCAGAACAUGAGGCCAAAGCUGCCAAGAUCUUCUGCUUGUAGGGCUGAAACUUAGUCUUCCUAUUCAAAUACAUCCAAUUAUAUCUGCAUCAGCUUUCUGUUUUAUGUUCCCCUUCACUGCUUAAGCUUUACUUUAAUUCCUUUUACAAGUUGGAAAAACUUAGCUGGACAGGGUCUUUCCAUGAAGUUAGUACUCCCUUUAUUCCAUUUAGCAUCAGGCUUUUCAUUGAACUUUUUAUCUCCUUGAAUACUGUACUUAGCUACAUUCCACUUCCUGGAGCUCCUUUUCUCCUCAAACUGUACAUUUUCUUUGCUCAACUUGCUCCUUUUCAUUAUAGGUCUGCAUAAGAAUGACAACUAAUAACCAUAGGGCACUUUCUGGAAAUCUCCUCUGCCAAGGCCAUUAAUCCCAAACUCUUCAAUUUGGCCUCAGAGAAAUUUGUAGGACAGGACCAAAGGCAGCUACAUUCUUUGCCAACAUAUCACAAGAAUAGUCUCUAGGCCACAAACUAAUAUUUCUCCCCUCUGAAACUUUCCAAGCUGGGCCCCUGUAGUUCACAUUACCCUCAGUAUAACCAUCUUCCAUGCUCCUCCUAGGAUAGCCUAUGAAACCCCUUAAAGUUUUCCAUAUUCCUCUAAUAAGCAUCAUCAAUACUGUCACAGCAAUACUUGUGGUCCUGUGUACCAACUUUUCUUUUAGACAUGAUUAUAUUGCUGUGACGAGGUACCAU